rnacentral:lncRNA from 1 species
GUGCCCCACCUGGAUCCUCUUUACAGGCAGUGCGCCCACCCCCUGGCUGCUGUUUGUGUUGCCUGAUGACAAUUCACAGCUGCCCCUACUCCUGAAAAUAGUCCUCAGCCAAAUAGAAGUCUCCUUGCCCAGGAGGCAACACCCGCUACUGCCCAGGGCAGAUCUCAGCCAAUGGCAGCAGACUUAAUGGGACAAAAAGCUGGCCCCCUUGCCUGAAGGUGGGCUUAGUUUUACGGUGAAACUCCAGCCUCUCUGUGGAAUCAAACUGAAACUAAUCUUUAGCAGUCUUGUUGCUCAGGAACAAAACUUUAAGACAGCUGGCAUCAGAGAUGGUCUCAGGAAGCUGACUCUGAGGACGGGAUUCUGGAGUUGGCUUGCUUGCUGGCUGGAUGGCAAUGAAGACCCCAUAGCUGAAGGUGAUAUUUAUUGAGCAAGCUAAUAGCACCAGGCACUGUGUUAAGUGCUUUUCGAAGAUUAUCUCAUUGGCUCCUCAUAACAAACUGAGGUGGAUGCAGCUUCUGCUUUUGGGAGUUGCAGGUCCUUCUAGUUGUGGGAUAUGGGACGCCGCCUCAACGUGGCCUGAUGAGCAGUGCCAUGUCCGCGGCCAGGAUCCGAACCCUAGGCCACGGCAGCGGAGCGCGCGAACUUCACUCGGCCCCAGAACCGGCCCCUCCAAAAGCUUUGUUUCUGACUUCCGAGACUGCAUGUUCUGGAGCAGAAGGAAAAAUACUACGGGUUCAGGAAUACAGAGGAGCUGCUGCGCAAGAUGGCCACUGGAUGGCGCUGCUGUCCCACUCGCAGAUGACCUAAGCGUCUGAAUCGGGAAAUGGCUUCUAGCUCUUGGAAGCUCAAAGUCCCUGGAAAGCUGGAAGACUCACACAGUACUUUCUUAUUUUAAUUUUUUUUUUUAAAUAAAGCAGUGAUUAAAAGUUGCCACAAAGGCCAGUGUAAACUCUUUUCUCCUCAGAACAAAGGAUGUUUUCACUUUACCCCGAACUGGGGGCUUUCAGCUUAUCAAAAUCAACAGAAACGUUUUGGAAGCAGCUUCCAAGUUCAUCACUCUGGAUUGAGGUUCUGAGGGGUCCAGAAUGUGGAGGUGAGAGUCUCUGACCUCAAGAGCUCCCCUAGAAUGUGAGAGAAACCAGAAUGUUCUCAGCCAAUAUCCUCAGGUCUGGUUAAUGUGAUUGUUUUACAAUAGCGCAGAGUUAAUGGGACCAGCUGGGUAUGUCUGCACUGAGGAAGGAUGGGGACAUGUUGCAAAAGCUGUCCUGAAGGGCCAGCAGCUCCAU